UAAUUAGAGAUAAUUUUGGAGAUGAGUCCUACUAGGAUAAGGAGUCUGAUUCCUAGUCAGAGAUAGAUUUUGUUGAUAUAAAUAGGUACCGAGGGGUAUGUCCUCGGUACGCUUUUUGGAGAUUUAGAAUUAGAAAAUUAGAGUUGAAUAGUUGUUGAUUCUAGAUCAACAAUUUUGAGAGGGGUGCUGUUGUUGCACUUUGAAAAUACUAGUUGAAGCAAUAAAGUUGAGAGCAUUCAAUCUACAGAUUCUGCUUUCAUCUAACGGUAUUUCUCUGGAUCUCGACGAUCUGAUUGACGGCACAGGAGCAACACGAUCAAGUUAAUUUCAGGAGCAGCGUAACCAGAUUGGCGGCAUAGGACGGCGUUACCAGAGGUAAUCGCAGGAGCGGCUAACCAAAGGCAGGGGACUCUCAAAAGAUUCCUGCCUUAUUGCUAUUCAGCACCAACACACACAGUUAAAUCCUAGUCGACAGGAGUAAAGAAUCUGCAGGAAGCCGCGUGAUGUCUACCGAGCGAUCCACGAUCCGAGCGCCUGGACUCAGACCGAUCGACCGGGAGCCUCGUUUCCCCAGCUCACGUACGCACUCCGGCCAAAAAGUAGUGUUGUAUAGGCUACUGUAACCGGUCUAUUACCUACGGUUGGACGCAGAUGAGCCAACAACGUGUAUACUACUAUACUAGUAGUAUGUGUACGUAUACCGAGUAUGAGCAAUCAGGCAGUGGUCGUGGUGAAAUACAGAAAUUCUGAUCGAUGGAGCAGCUUGGGGAGGUAGCUAGGGAGACAGAAGGGCAGCGUUGGAGCGCCGAUUUGACGAGUCCGGCCGCGCGGUGGCCAUGGACGGGUCGCGUCGCCCGUCGUCAAAUCAGCCGGUGCCCGGUAGGGUAGGGGAUCAGAUCGGUCGAACUCUCGGACGUACUGGUACCAGAAUACCAGUCUUCUUUAGAUGUGAAUAAUAACGCGUCUGUCGUUGCCGUCGUCUCCAUCUUUGCCU